rnacentral:lncRNA from 13 species
CACUUGAGACCGGUACAAUUCCAUGACUCUGCAUGCUAACUGGACAUCUUGCACUGGUGGUGCUGCAACACCCUUCGCACCCAUACUUCCUGCGGCGCUGCACACAACCUGCCGUCUCUACUAUUGGUCAAUGAGGAUGGAGGGCUGCUCACUCCACCUCUAACACGUCUGAACAGACACUGCUGCACAGAGGAUAAGAAAGGGUAUCGCCAUCCAUCUCACAGAGGCCACAAAUCUGCUCCUCCACUCCUCACGACUGAAAAGGUACGCCAUUAUUUGGAGUGCUGCUUGGUUUUACCACAGUCAGAGACGCAGCCAAGGGAGAAAACAGGCCCAGAUCUGGGUUUAUGCCAUUCGAAGUCCGCUGUGAUAGGGUUUACUCCAUGCUUAAAGAACCGUACCCUGAUGUUAAGUCAAGAUAUAGAGCUUCAGUUUAUGUGCAAGUAUAGAGCAUUAGCG